AUACGGAGGGGGUUAGCGUUGUUGGGAAUUACUGGGCGUAAAGCGUACGUAGGCGGACUGGAAAGUUGGGGGGGAAAUCCCGGGGCUCAACCCCGGAACUGCCUCCAAAACUUCCAAUCUAGAGAUCGAGAGAGGUGAGUGGAAUUCCAAGUGUAGAGGUGAAAUUCGUAGAUAUUUGGAGGAACACCAGUGGCGAAGGCGGCUCACUGGCUCGAUACUGACGCUGAGGUACGAAAGCGUGGGGAGCAAACAGGAUUAGAAACCCUAGUAGUCC
rnacentral:rRNA from 1 species